rnacentral:rRNA from 1 species
GGGUUGUGAGGUUAAGCGACUAAGCGUACACGGUGGAUGCCCUGGCAGUCAGAGGCGAUGAAGGGCGUGCUAAUCUGCGAUAAGCGCCGGUAAGGUGAUAUGAACCGUUAUAACCGGCGAUACCCGAAUGGGGAAACCCAGUGUGAUUCGUCACACUAUCAUUAACUGAAUCCAUAGGUUAAUGAGGCGAACCGGGGGAACUGAAACAUCUAAGUACCCCGAGGAAAAGAAAUCAACCGAGAUUCCCCCAGUAGCGGCGAGCGAACGGGGAGGAGCCCAGAGCCUGAAUCAGCAUGUGUGUUAGUGGAAGCGUCUGGAAAGGCGCGCGAUACAGGGUGACAGCCCCGUACACAAAAGCGCAUGUGCUGUGAGCUCGAUGAGUAGGGCGGGACACGUGGUAUCCUGUCUGAAUAUGGGGGGACCAUCCUCCAAGGCUAAAUACUCCUGACUGACCGAUAGUGAACCAGUACCGUGAGGGAAAGGCGAAAAGAACCCCGGCGAGGGGAGUGAAAAAGAACCUGAAACCGUGUACGUACAAGCAGUGGGAGCCCCACCACCAAAGCAUUUGCUGUACCGCGUUGACGGAGCGAAGCGACGUCAAACCGAUAAAACAGCAGUGU